GAUGAACGCUGGCGGCGUGCCUAAUACAUGCAAGUCGAGCGAACCACUUCGGUGGUGAGCGGCGAACGGGUGAGUAACACGUAGGUGAUCUGCCCAUCAGACGGGGACAACGAUUGGAAACGAUCGCUAAUACCGGAUAGGACGAAAGUUUAAAGGUGCUUCUGGCACCGCUGAUGGAUGAGCCUGCGGCGCAUUAGCUAGUUGGUAGGGUAAAGGCCUACCAAGGCGACGAUGCGUAGCCGACCUGAGAGGGUGAAUGGCCACACUGGGACUGAGACACGGCCCAGACUCCUACGGGAGGCAGCAGUAGGGAAUCUUCGGCAAUGGGCGAAGGCCUGACCGAGCAACGCCGCGUGAAUGAUGAAGGCCUUCGGGUUGUAAAAUUCUGUUAUAAGGGAAGAACGACUUUAGUAGGAAAUGGCUAGAGUGUGACGGUACCUUAUGAGAAAGCCACGGCUAACUACGUGCCAGCCGCCGCAGUAA
rnacentral:rRNA from 1 species